rnacentral:rRNA from 1 species
GGCCGCGGGAAUUCGAUUCAGGCCUAACACAUGCAAGUCGAACGGUAACGCGGGGCAACCUGGCGACGAGUGGCGAACGGGUGAGUAAAGCAUCGGAACGUGCCCAAUCGUGGGGGAUAACGUAGAGAAAUUUACGCUAAUACCGCAUGAGAUCUAAGGAUGAAAGCAGGGGAUCGCAAGACCUUGCGCGAUUGGAGCGGCUGAUGUCAGAUUAGGUAGUUGGUGGGGUAAAGGCCUACCAAGCCGACGAUCUGUAGCUGGUUUGAGAGAACGACCAGCCACACUGGGACUGAGACACGGCCCAGACUCCUACGGGAGGCAGCAGUGGGGAAUUUUGGACAAUGGGCGCAAGCCUGAUCCUUCAAAGCCGCGUGCAGGAAGAAGGCCUUCGGGUU